AUUCCAGCUCCAAUAGCGUAUAUUAAAGUUGUUGCAGUUAAAAAGCUCGUAGUUGGAUUUCGGAAUGGGUCAAUUGGUCCGCCGCAAGGUGAGUUACUGGUUGGUCUGUUCUUCUUCGCAAAGACUGCGUAUGCACUUUAUUGGGUGUGCGUAGGAUUUACGACGUUUACUUUGAAAAAAUUAGAGUGUUCAAAGCAGGCUAUCGCUUGAAUACAUGAGCAUGGAAUAAUGGAAUAGGAAGUCGUUUCUAUUUUGUUGGUUUUCGGAAAUCGACUUAAUGAUUAAUAGGGACAGUCGGGGGCAUUUGUAUUCAAACGACAGAGGUGAAAUUCUUGGACCGUUUGAAGACAAACUACCGCGAAAGCAUUUGCCAAGAAUGUUUUCAUCA
rnacentral:rRNA from 1 species